CCCAUGAAGUGUGAGGCACUUUUAAGUGUAAAUAAUGACAAGGAGACAAACAUUUUCUUAAUUUUAAGGACUUAAAGAACAUCCUUGAAUAGUAAUACAGGAAGGCAAAUGUACUUAAUGCAUUGUAAUGAAUCAGAGCAUGAAAAAAAAUCAGUGAAGACUUGUGACAGGUGAAAUCUUAGAUCUGCCAGAAUAAUUAGGAAAAGGCCAUUUAUAUUUUCAAGUGCAGAUUUAAUGCUACAUAGGGGUUCUCUUAUUAAAGUGUAAAUAGAAAUUCUGAACCACUGACAUACUUAAUCGCACCCUACUUUUCACUACCAGGGGAAAAGUAGCAGUUUUAAACAAUCAGAAAGGUACUUCACAGAAUGUAUUUCAUUCAUGGUACCAUGUGUUGUCUAAAGUUCCAGAUUCAACAUAAUAAUUUAGAGCAGGUAUUUUAUUAACAAGUGAACACCCAUAUAUCUACAAUAUCCAUUAACUGAAUGAAACCUUCUCUAAGUCUUCUUUACUUUAUUUUUCAGUUUCUAAAAAUACAUAUAACAAACAAUACCCAUAAUAGAUUACUGAACAAACUGACAGGCCUUUGCUCUUAAGAUCUUAAAGAUACAGUAAUAUAUAUCGUGAGAUUGUGUGCAAAGCCUCUCCUCCUCCCAGAGGGGAGGUAUUGUGAGUGGGAGCCGUUCCUGUGUCGGCAGGGGUGUGUGUUCAGCCCCCUGCAUCAUCACCCUGCUGCCGCACCACCCUCCGGCUGGCCAGCCAAUAGGGUUGGCCCAGGGGCGGGGUUUAGCUGCAUUCAAGCGGCCACGGCAGCCUCCGCGCCUCAUUCAGCUGCUUGGAGGACGUUGGAUCGUACAUGUAUAUGUUGUGUGAUCCAAUGCCUAAGCCAAUACCACUCACAUGCCAUAAUUAAUAAAAGUUGUGGCCUUUUCAGCCCAUUAACCUAAAUAAUUGUGUCCUUGUCUCUUAUUCACCACUACGCGGGUGCAGGUCCUCGACUCACAAAAGGGGUUGCAGAACAGGAGAGAGGAGGAAACAUGGAAUUUUUUGGGGGGGUGGGGGGUAUUAUGAUAUUGGGAGUUUUAUUUUCAAUUCCUUUCCUAAUGAUUCCUAGCAUGGAAUUUGACUUUUUCACAGCUGCCACACAUUGAGUUGACCUCUUCAUUGAGCUAUUCACUAUGACCCCAAAGGCUCAUUCACAGUUUAUCAGCACCUCAUAAGCGCAUAUGUGAUAUUAAUAUCUUUUGCCCUGGUCAUUGUAUGCAUCCACACUGAUUUACAUUUGCGUGUUCAGAGCUUUAAACCUCCCCCUUAAAUAAAUUCAGAUAAGACUCAAAUUUUGGUUUGGUUUUUGGCAGAAUUUAGGCCACAACUUUAUUGAUUACAGCAAGUGAGUGGCUGCAUAGGGUCUGGUUCGACUAGCUCCCUGCACCAUUGCAGGUAGUGCUGACCCAGGGUACCAGCAUAGGUCAGCCUAGGGUGAACACCUGGAUCAGUGGAAAACCAGGAACAGGCCAUCUCCGCCACCCUAAUACCCCCCUGGACUCAGGCACGGGCACAACCCCCUCACAGGGGUUGACCAAACCAUCGAGUCCCUUGAUUCCUUUUAUGGAAUACCCUUCACAUAGGGAUGGUGAGAGCAUUCUCCCAUCCCUAUCACCUGAACCACAGCCUAUCCGCAACCUUACAAGUUGUGAUGAUUUGCUACGCGGCAGUCGAAUCCCAAAUGGCAUCAGCCAAGUGGGGAAAAUUCCUGCUGUGGCCCUGUCCCAACAACAGACGACACACGACGGCAUAGCAAGGUCAAGCUCACAAGCCCUAAAAAUAGGGAGAGGUGGGCGGGUGUUCCAAUGCACGCACCGAAAGAGGAAGCUCUGGGUCACGUGCAUAGGCAUAUAUAGGUCCCUUGAUCCAUUUAGCCUGCGUCCCAUUGGCCUGAUUAAACCCUGUAUCAAGGGACCUACCAAUUGGGUGUUGUGGCUAACCAAUCUUACCCACCCACAAUGCAGGGUUUGGUUGCCAGGUCUCACCGCAACACGUGCCCUCUUUAAGGGAGGACCCUAUUUGCCAUUUUGUUGCCCAUUUACUCAGCUUUGAGAAGUUCUUUUGGAACACUUUUUGUUUUAACCACCCUGAACAAUUUAGUAUCAUCAGCAAACAUGGCUACCUCACUACUAACUCCUAAUACUAGAUUGUUUAUUAACAAGUUAAAAGGCACUGAUUCUAAUACUCAUUGCAACAUAAGGAAAGUGGUUUUCCUCAAGGAUGAGUAUUAGAAUCAUUUAUUCCCACUCUCUGCUUCCUGCUCUUUAACCAGUUAUAGGCACCUCUUCUCUAAUUCUAUGAUUACUAGCUUACUUAGGACUUUUUGGUGAUAUACUUUGCCGAAAGCUUUCUGAAAGUCCAAGUACACAGUGUCAUGUGAAUCACCUCUGCCUAUAUGCUUGUUGACACUCUCAUAGAAAUCUUAUAGGUUAGUGAGACAGGACUUACCUUUGCAUAAGCCAUACUGUUUCUGCUUCAUUUGACUUAGAAGAGGCAUCCUGUUUUUUUGUCUUUUAUUUCCCAAUAUUAAGGAGAAUAUUUUCAUGGAAAAUCUUUCACUACAUGUUGGGCUUUGUAAUCUACUAAUGCAUAACAGUAGUUUUUGCUCUCAAUUCUACUGUGUCAAGGGUUAAAAUCCAUAAAAAUAAAGAUCGUAACCAUUAAACCAUGGCAGAUUUCCCGCUCCCCAAUAAUGCAAAUAGUUUGUUGCCUCAAAAUUGACUUCUGAAUAAUUUCAGUAGCAAAUCAAUUAAUUUCUGCUUUAUUUGCUUCCCAACUCUGCACAAAAGGGUUGCUUAAGAGAUUUCUUAACUAUAGUGAAAAACAGCAUUGGGAAGGAUUUUGAUUUGCUUCAAUAACUAAUGUUUGUCUUAUCAACAGCUACGUGGUUUAUUUUUCAUCUUACAUAAUGCAUAUGCAAUCAGAAUGCCUACUUUGAUAGAUAAAUGCCUAGGAAGAAAUCAAAUUGGCUAAUAAAUAAUACUAAAUUUAAGGAUUUCAUUCGGAGCUAAAUUGUCAUGGAUUAUUAACUGUACUAACUAAUGGCUUGUUUAUGUUACUGCUUAAAUAAUUAAAAACCUUUCUUAAUAGUAGUACAAGAUGACUUAGAGAUGGAUGGACAUGCAUAUAAAAAUGGACUUUUUUACCUACAAAAGGACAUUUUGGGAAAGGUGGCUUUUUAACAUUUGAAACUUGUUCACCAGUGUUAGGAAGAAGAUGGCUCACUAUACAAGGGUAGUUGUUUAACUAUUGUUAGUUAAGCAUCCUAGCAACUGGUAUUUCCAAAGAAAGUUAUUAAGAGUGCUUGUCAAUUAUAGGUCCAAAUUCUCUGCAUGAAAGCUAAGGCAUGAGUGUCUAUGAACUUUGCAGUAAUUCACAUACAGUAUUUUUAUAGCCCCCCCCCCACCUCUCUCUGCCCCCCUCUCUCUGUGUGUGUAAAAAUAAUUUCCCCUUAAUGCAUGAAGGUUGGAAGCAGUAUCAGCCAGAAUGUCUGUACUUUGUCUUCAUGUACAGAAUGCAGCAGGUAUCCAUGAGAAAAGUGCAGUUGUUUAAGCUCCCAUAAAUGUGGUCCUAGGAAAUAGAGGGCUUUGGAUUGUGUAUAUGUGAGUUGAUCUGUAUAUAAGUAUACAGG